CAAGACCUGAACUGAGAUCAAGAGUUGAACAUGUGAGUGCCCAAGAUUCCUCUCAAUAGAUUGGUGGAAACCAAAAGCAUGUGAUGGUUUUGAAGUUCAAGGAAAAUACAUAAGCCAGGCUUUACAACUCUCACUAUUUCGAAGAGCUCUUGAGGCAACAUGUAAUACAUAUUAAUGCCAUUUAAGUGGGGUCCAGCCCAACUUGUUCAAGAUCUAAAUGUAAUUGUGGACUAAACUCAAUAAAAUAAUAAAGUGCU